UCUAGCUAGUCACGGAGCACUUCAUAUGGCUGUGAGCUGGGGUUUGGCUAACAAUGAGGACAGGACUGUGUCUUUUCAGCAGAAUUUUGAAAUGCACUUUUGACCCAAACAUCUCCUGACUCUGGAGGUCCUUUCCAGUCCCUUCUGAAUGUAAUUGUAAAGACGACCCGAUUUCCAAUCUAAGCAGCACUUAGCCAUGCCAGAAAUCCUCCUACUAAAUAUACUGAGCUAAGAGAUCAACCAGAACACUCACAGCAGGCUUCAUCGUCUAUUAAACACUCAUUUGAAAACAAGGGUCAUGUUUCCAUCACAGAGAAUACAUUGUAGCCACAACACCCGCAGCAUUUGUCCAAGCUCUGGAGUGAAGACGUAUAAUGAGAAAGAUAGGAUAUUUCAGCACUAAAAGCUAUCAUCAAAUAAUAUUUUGGCUCAUUUACCAAAAUAUCACUUUGCAUAAUUUGCCUUUUAGGAUCCUAAAGAAAAUGGCUUCAAGAAAUUAUAUGCCAAAGAUCUCAGAUGGAGACUUAACUCGUCAUCAAUAUGUGAUUGGCACGGAGACAAAGAAGUUACAGGUGUGCACAGAGGAGAAGCUCGAGGGUUCAAAUUGCUUCAGGAUCUUGGCUGAGGUCGGACAGAGAAUAACAGAAGGGAGCUGUGGGGAACUUCGUGUGCCUCAGGCUGGCAGUGAGUGGCGCUUAGCUGCAGCUUUCGUGCUCUGUGAGGUGACUGCAGCCUGAAGCUCAGAUGCUCUGGUGUAACCAGCGGGGCAGUGGGUGAGUAGGCCAGCUCUCCUGACUCUACCUUGAUGCUCAGGGACAAUGUACCAGGAGAUGAAGGCAUUGGCACAACUUAGCAUCACAGGUUCUGUGGGACACCUGAGGCUGACGUGGAACUCCACAGGCUGAGGGCCCUGGCGAGUGAAAACCCCUGAUGAUCGUCUUUGCUUUGCCAGCUACUUGGCACCCCACCAAGGGAUUCUUAUUUCCUUCCAGUGUUUUCUUAAAUGUUUUGCAAUACAACAGGCAAAAAGGCUAAACAGGUUUUCUGUGCAAAGAAACAUUUAUUUAUGCAGAGGGAUCAACCCAAUACUGUACUGGGAAGGGUAGCAAUAAAAUGACUCCAGAUGGCA
rnacentral:lncRNA from 1 species